GAUGAACGCUGGCGGCGUGCCUAAUACAUGCAAGUCGAGCGAACAGACGAGGAGCUUGCUCCUCUGACGUUAGCGGCGGACGGGUGAGUAACACGUGGAUAACCUACCUAUAAGACUGGGAUAACUUCGGGAAACCGGAGCUAAUACCGGAUAAUAUAUUGAACCGCAUGGUUCAAUAGUGAAAGACGGUUUUGCUGUCACUUAUAGAUGGAUCCGCGCCGCAUUAGCUAGUUGGUAAGGUAACGGCUUACCAAGGCAACGAUGCGUAGCCGACCUGAGAGGGUGAUCGGCCACCCUGGAACUGAGCCACGGUCCAGACUCCUACGGGAGGCAGCAGUAGGGAAUCUUCCGCAAUGGGCGAAAGCCUGACGGAGCAACGCCGCGUGAGUGAUGAAGGUCUUCGGAUCGUAAAACUCUGUUAUUAGGGAAGAACAAAUGUGUAAGUACCUAUGCACGUCUUGACGGUACCUAAUCAGAAAGCCACGGCUAACUACGUG
rnacentral:rRNA from 1 species